GCCCAAUAACUUCCGGACGCUUUCUUUAAGACAAGGCCACACGUCCAUUCCGGCCUCUUAUCGACGGGGACUGCUCUAAGGUCUGCCCUGCGCAGGACAGCAGACAGCGUGGACUUCUACCACCUUUCCCCGAGCCUCUGAAUAAAGUGUUUAAAUAACCCCGCUGGUGUCUUGUGUGUCACUGUCGCCGACGCGCUGCCUUUGAGCCCCCGGCCCACCUUCUCGUGGUGCCGGGGGUUAAGCUGCGGCGCCAUAACACUCUGCUAGCGCAUAACUGGGGCCGCCUGCCCUUCGCGGGCGGCCCUUUUAACCGCUAGCUACAGGCUCAGAGCAGCCGAC
rnacentral:lncRNA from 1 species